GACGUAGGGGGCAAGCGUUGUCCGGAUUUAUUGGGCGUAAAGGGCACGCAGGCGGUCCGGUGCGUCCCCGGUGACAGGGAGGGGCUCAACUCCUCCAGGCCCGGGGAGACGGCUGGACUUGAGGACUUCAGAGGGACGCGGAAUUCCAGGUGGAGCGGUGAAAUGCGUAGAGAUCUGGAAGAACACCAAAGGCGAAGGCAGCGUCCUGGGAAGUCACUGACGCUCAUGUGCGAAAGCGAGGGGAGCCAACGGG
rnacentral:rRNA from 1 species